rnacentral:rRNA from 1 species
GACGAACGCUGGCGGCGUGCUUAACACAUGCAAGUCGAACGAUGAAGCGCCAGCUUGCUGGUGUGGAUUAUUGGCGAACGGGUGAGUAACACGUGAGUAACCUGCCCCCUACUCUGUGAUAAGCCUUGGAAACUGGGUCUAAUACUGGAUAUGACCUAUCACUGCAUGUGGUUUUGGUGGAAAGAUUUGUUGGUGGGGGAUGGACUCGCGGCCUAUCAGCUUGUUGGUGGGUUAAUGGCCUACCAAGUCGACGACGGGUAGCCGGCCUGCGAGGGUGACCGGCCACACUGGGACUGAGACACGGCAGAGACUCCGACGGGAGGCAGCAGUGCGGAAUCUUGCACAAUGGGCGAAAGCCUGAUGCAGCGACGCCGCGUGAGGGAUAACGCCCUUCGUGGUGUAAACCUCUUUCACCAGGGACGAAGCUAACGUGACGGUAACUGGAGAAGAAGCACCGGCUAACUACGUG